AUAUUGCGCAAUGGGCGAAAGCCUGACGCAGCUAUGCCGCGUGUGUGAUGAAGGCCCUCGGGUCGUAAAGCACUGUCGGGAGGGAAGAAGAUCUGACGGUACCUCCCAAGAAAGCACCGGCUAACUCCGUGCCAGCAGCCGCGGUAAUACGGAGGGUGCAAGCGUUGCUCGGAAUCACUGGGCGUAAAGCGUACGCAGGCGGCACGUCAAGUCGGGUGUGAAAGCCCGGGGCUCAACCCCGGAGUUGCAUUCGAAACUGGCGCGCUUGAGUGCGGGAGAGGGAAGCGGAAUUCCUGGUGUAGAGGUGAAAUUCGUAGAUAUCAGGAGGAACACCGGUGGCGAAAGCGGCUUCCUGGCCCGACACUGACGCUCAUGUACGAAAGCGUGGGGAGCAAAC
rnacentral:rRNA from 1 species